CCAGCUCCAAUAGCGUAUAUUUAAGUUGUUGCAGUUAAAAAGCUCGUAGUUGGAUUUCGGGUGGGUUCCAGCGGUCUGCCUCUGGUAUGUACUGCUGUGGCUCACCUUUCUGUCGGGGACGGGCUCCUGGGCUUCACUGUCCGGGACUCGGAAUCGACGUGGUUACUUUGAGUAAAUUAGAGUGUUCAAAGCAAGCCUACGCUCUGAAUACAUUAGCAUGGAAUAACACGAUAGGACUCUGGCCUAUCUUGUUGGUCUGUAGGACCGGAGUAAUGAUUAAGAGGGACAGUCGGGGGCAUUCGUAUUUCAUUGUCAGAGGUGAAAUUCUUGGAUUUAUGAAAGACGAACUUCUGCGAAAGCAUUUGCCAAGGAUGUUUUCA
rnacentral:rRNA from 1 species